AUUGAACGCUGGCGGCAGGCCUAACACAUGCAAGUCGAGCGGAUGAAGGGAGCUUGCUCCCUGAUUUAGCGGCGGACGGGUGAGUAAUGCCUAGGAAUCUGCCUGGUAGUGGGGGAUAACGUUCCGAAAGGAACGCUAAUACCGCAUACGUCCUACGGGAGAAAGCAGGGGACCUUCGGGCCUUGCGCUAUCAGAUGAGCCUAGGUCGGAUUAGCUAGUUGGUGAGGUAAUGGCUCACCAAGGCGAUGAUCCGUAACUGGUCUGAGAGGAUGAUCAGUCACACUGGAACUGAGACACGGUCCAGACUCCUACGGGAGGCAGCAGUGGGGAAUAUUGGACAAUGGGCGAAAGCCUGAUUCAGCCAUGCCGCGUGUGUGAAGAAGGUCUUCGGAUUGUAAAGCACUUUAAGUUGGGAGGAAGGGCAGUAAGUUAAUACCUUGCUGUUUUGACGUUACCGACAGAAUAAGCACCGGCUAACUUCGUGCCAGCCGCCGCGGUAA
rnacentral:rRNA from 1 species